UGGGGAAUAUUGCACAAUGGGCGCAAGCCUGAUGCAGCCAUGCCGCGUGUAUGAAGAAGGCCUUCGGGUUGUAAAGUACUUUCAGCGGGGAGGAAGGUGUUGAGGCUAAUAACCUCAGCAAUUGACGUUACCCGCAGAAGAAGCACCGGCUAACUCCGUGCCAGCAGCCGCGGUAAUACGGAGGGUGCAAGCGUUAAUCGGAAUUACUGGGCGUAAAGCGCACGCAGGCGGUCUGUCAAGUCGGAUGUGAAAUCCCCGGGCUCAACCUGGGAGCUGCAUUCGAAACUGGCAGGCUAGAGUCUUGUAGAGGGGGGUAGAAUUCCAGGUGUAGCGGUGAAAUGCGUAGAGAUCUGGAGGAAUACCGGUGGCGAAGGCGGCCCCCUGGACAAAGACUGACGCUCAGGUGCGAAAGCGUGGGGAGCAAACA
rnacentral:rRNA from 1 species